rnacentral:rRNA from 1 species
GACGAACGCUGGCGGCGGGCUUAACACAUGCAAGUCGAACGGAAAGGCCCUGCUUUUUUGGGGGUCCCGAGGGGGAAAGGGGUGAGUAACACGGGAGUAACCUGCCUUGGACUUGGGGAUAACUUCAGGAAACUGGGGCUACUACCGGAGAGGAGCGCCUGCGGCAGGGGGGGGUUUGGAAAUUUUGGGCGGUUGGGGAUGGACUCGCGGCUUAUCAGCUGGUUGGUGGGGUAGUGGCUUACCAAGGCUUUGACGGGUAGCCGGCCUGAGAGGGUGACCGGCCACAUUGGGACUGAGAUACGGCCCAGACUCCUACGGGAGGCAGCAGUGGGGAAUAUUGCACAAUGGGCGGAAGCCUGAUGCAGCAACGCCGCGUGCGGGAUGACGGCCUUCGGGUUGUAAACCGCUUUCGCCUGUGACGAAGCGUGAGUGACGGUAAUGGGUAAAGAAGCACCGGCUAACUACGUG